GGGGCGUACAGUGAAGCUGCUUCUGCAGGUGUGAAAAACACUGCAAAGUGGAUUCAGCUGCUGCUACAGGAAGGAACUGCCACUGCUGGGGUAAAGAUCUGUAGCUGGAGAGAUGUUCACCAGAACAGGAAGCAAACUGGGAGGAGCAAGUCCCUUCCUCCUCCUCCAUCCCUGCAAUCUCCCUCAGGCACUGUCUAUGCAGAGUCUAACAGGGAACAGCUGGCAAAGCAGAAAUGUAGUUUGUAGAGUCCCAGCACCAGCAUUGCAAAGAAUAUAUAUAGGAAGGUGAGUUGGAGCUAAAAUAGCUUCUAACUGGCACAAUAAUAAAAAGAUAAUUUAGGUUAGAAGAUGAUAAGGGCUUUGGGGGAAAGAAAAGAGCAAGGUAAAGAGGAUCAGGAGAGUGUUCCAUUUUAAAUAGGGCAAUCAGGGCGGGCCUCAUUGAGAAGGUGAUUUUUGAGUUAUAACUUAGAGUGAUGAGAUGUACCACUAAUCUAACAAUGGUCCUAUCCAAGAUGUCUUCCAGGCAGUCACUGCACUGCCAGUAAUUGUCCAGGACCAGCAAAAUUCACUGCUUCAGGCCUUUCUUACCCAGAUUUAUAUCUGAGACAGAACUGCUCCUAUUUCUCACAUUUCCUUUCCCAAUCCUAUGUAAACAGAUGCUUUAAACUGAAUCUCAGGGACAAAGCCCUUUCCUAAACCUGAAAAGAUACCUGAUCUGAGGGAUUUAUCACAGGUGGAAUCAUCUGGCAUGACUCCAUAUUCCAAGAACAUUCUAAAGAAAGCUUCUUCUCUGAAACAGAGACUUAACAGUUACACACACACACACACACACACACACACACACACACACACACACACACACAGGCAUUCUUCAGCUUAUGAGACUAUUGAUGCCAAGGCUGGGAAUAAGCAAAUUCGUGAGAGCUGUCCAGUCAUCUCAGAAACCAUUUUAGGGGGAAUUCCUUAGUGGUCCAGUGGUUAGGAUUCUGUGCUCUCACUGCCGAGGGCCUGGGUUCAAUCCCUGGUCAGGGAACUAAGAUCCCACGAUCCGUGUGGUGCAGCAAAAAAAUAAUAAUAAUAAGAGUAAUGCUGCACCUUUGAGCUUUCAGAAAUGAUUUUAAACAUUGGCAUAUUCCACUAUGUAAAAUAUAAGGGCUUUUCAGAUAAAAAGUAAAAGCCUGGGUAGAGUGACCCACAGAACCAAGUAGCCUUGAAAUACAAAUUAAAACCAUGAGGAGACAUCACAACACUCCCAUCAGAAUGGCUGAAUUAAAAAGACUGACGUGUUCACAAGGGCUUAGAGCAACCGGAAUGCUCAUCUCUUGCUGGUAGGAAUAUAAGAUGGUGCAACCUCUUCGGAAAUCUGUUGAGCAGAUUUUUCUAAAGCUAAAUAUAUGGCUACCUUCUCAUUCAGCAAUACCAAUCCUAAGUAUAUACCCAAGAGAAAUGGUUGCACAAAAAGACAUGUACAGAAUGUUCCUAGUAGCUUGACUUGUAAUAGCCAAUGACUGGGAAAAAUUCAAAUUAGUCAACAGAUGAAUGGGUAAAUAAACUGUGGCAGAGGCAUAUAAUGGGCUGCUACUCAACAGCAAUGACAACAAAACAGCCCUCUGUACACUUGUCCAUGAAGUACCCUAUGGGGCCUUCCUGGGACAGACAUCCCUAUGUCCUCCACCUUCCUCUUGUUUGCAGAAAAACUUUAGCCUCCUAGGCCUUCCCCAAAUUCCAAAGAAUAAAUUUAAUCAGAGAAGUGAGAAAAUGCAGAAGCAAAGGGAAACAGUCAAGCAAGACAAAAUAAUAAUAGUUUAGCCAUUAAAUGGAGUCAGGGAUGUUUAGUUCCUCCUCAAGUGCUAUAGAUAAUAUUCUGAGCUAUAUACAUUGAGCUGUUUUGCAGAUACUGAAACCCCCACCAGAUGGAAGAAGUUAACUGUAUGCUGCCCACAAGCAUGUAGACCCCAGACCAGUUGGAACCAGAAGGCUGAUGAUGUUGACUCCCAAUUACCUCACUACCAACCAACCAAAAGUAUGUCCACAAGCUAAUCAUGCACUCCAUAACCGCCCUCCCUUACCCUGUCUUUAAAAACCUUUCCCUGAAAGCCAUCAAGGAGUUUGGGCCUUUUGAGCAUUAGCCGCCUGGACUCCUUGCUUGAUGUGCUGCAAUAAAUGGUACAUAUUCCUUCACCACAACCGGUGUCAGUAGAUUGGCUUUACUACACGCGGGCAAGCAGACUCAAGUUUGGAUCCGUAACACACUCAGUAACUUCGAUGAAUCUCAAAAACAAAAAUAUUGUGCAAAAGGAGCCACACACAAGAGCACAUACUGUAUAUGCAAGAACAGGCAAAACUGAUGAUAAUAGAAGUCAGAACUGUGGUUACCUCCAGUGGCGGAGUGAUAUGGAUUGGGAAGUUUUGAGGAAGCUAGCUGGGUUGCUGAAAGCAUUCUCCACCUUGAUCUGGGUGGUGGUCACGUGGAUAUGUACAUAUGUGAAAAUCCAUCAAGCAUUUAGGAUUAGCCUGGCUAUGAACUUUGUAAUCUGUGUGUUAUCCUUCAACAGAUAAAAGAAAAAGAGAGGAAGAGAGGGAGGCAAGCAUCUUUCCUUAGGGAAGCAUGGGCUUUUGUAUGGCCAACAUCACCCCACAUGAGACAGGAAGGAGGGAUUUGACAAAAACUGGUUAGAACCUACUAAGCCCAAGAUGGUGGAAGAUUCGACUUCCAGUAGACCUUGAGCCUCAUUAUACGCUCAUUGUAAUACAUUAGCAUAAGCUAAGUGACACACGCACAGGUGCCAUGACAGUUCCGAGGCUGACCUAAAAGGACAAAAGUGGGCGGUGGCCCAAAUUCUGGAAAUUCCCGCCCCUUCCCCAAAAUAGUUGGAAUAAUCCUCCCACUCGUUAGCCUAUGAAAUUACCCAGCCCAUAAAAACUAACAACCCCAUAUUUCGGGGCGGUAUCACUUUUCAAAACGACCCUAUGCCCUGGGACCGGUCUCCCUUCUCAGAAGGACCGCAUUCUGUCUAUGGAAUGUGUACCUCUCUAAAUAAACUUGCUUUCACUUUA